AUAAAAUUGAUAUAAAUAGUUCAUAUAGAUCCAGCGAUUAAAUUUAGAUAAACUUACUGUAUUCAGUUUUACAAUGUAACAUUACAGAGCAUCACCUAUUUAAAAAACACUAUAAAAUUUCACACUGAUCUUAUCUAAUCAAUUUUUUUUUUUCUCAUUAGGCAUCAUGUUCUUCAUGUGCACAUAAGUGCUUCAUUGGCUGUCCACCUACAUCUCUUCAGCAUGUCUUCUUUCGUGUUUGGUGAUGAGGAGACUGUUAUGCCACAUCUUGACAAGGAGAGUCUGAGGUUUUGUGAACAUGCUGUAAUGAUAAUGAAAGCCCUGGGUCAAGUGAUUAGCUGCUUCUCAGAUCAAGAGGAACUACCAUCAACCACCAAAGAACUCGAGAAGACCCAUGGUGUAGGCAUACAGCAACAAAGGGUGUUCAAUGAGGCUGUGUAUCAUAUGUUUUGCUCUGCUCUGGGGUGGAAACUGACCUCUGAGGAGCUGUUUGCGGUACAGACUUUGACAGGAGACCCAUCGCCACAUUUCAGCAAUGAUAAAAAAAGUCUUGAAUGCACGAUCAGGUGAAUGUUGGGCUAACGGACACUCUCUUUCACCUAUUAUAGCAUUAUAACACGUGGUUCAUCCUGACUUUAUGUACUCAUGUGUUUUUUCUCCCUCUAAAAGAUGACACUCCAGGGGGCUGGAAUGGCAGGCAGGCCACAGUGUUGCAGGCAGGUUGGAAAGGAUACCUAGUCAGGGAGAUCCUCACUGCAGCAAGAACAGGUAAAGUCCAGCUUUACUUGAAAUAGAUAUAAUAAUACCUGGUGUAGAUGGAAGAGUAUAGACUGUGAAUUCAAGAAUUUAUGCCAAUUGUCUUUGCGAUCUGAUUCAUACUGUGACAAGUCAGCUGCCUCCCCCCAAUUAUCAACCUCACCCGUCCCUUAAUCGCCGCACUUCACCAGGCUCCCGGCAUGAGUGGGUAUGUGAGGAGGGGCGCUGAAAUAUCCAGGGCUGGCGGCGUGUGAUGAGGCCGGGAGCAUGUGCGGCCGCCGGACUCCGCCCCUUACCUGGGCCCUUCCUUCCUGAACACUGCCCCACCUACACAAACCCCGCAGCACGACGAGGACACCAGAUUCCCUAUUUAUUCUGAACACUUUACUCCUUUGGACACUUUAUUCCCUGUUUUUGUUGCUUUUCUGUUAAUAAAAGCCACUCCGAGGCCUGACGCCA
ensembl:lncRNA